UACGAAGGGGGCUAGCGUUGCUCGGAAUCACUGGGCGUAAAGGGUGCGUAGGCGGGUCUUUAAGUCAGAGGUGAAAUCCCAAGGCUCAACCUUGGAACUGCCUUUGAUACUGGGGAUCUUGAGUCCGGGAGAGGUGAGUGGAACUGCGAGUGUAGAGGUGAAAUUCGUAGAUAUUCGCAAGAACACCAGUGGCGAAGGCGGCUCACUGGCCCGGUACUGACGCUGAGGUGCGAAAGCGUGGGGAGCGAACAGG
rnacentral:rRNA from 1 species